UCCUGCCUGUGCUGGAGGCAAUGCUUCCCGUGGGUACCAAUGGGACUGGUCAUGUUUCCGCUGUCAUGUGCUGUCCGUGGCAGGUGGCAGAGCCAGUUUUUCUGCUCCAAAAGUGGGACUGGGGAGGAUACCACAACACUCAAAUACCCAGAUCCCUGGUAGCUGCCAGCCAGGCAUCGAGGAGGCCACUUGUCUUUUUCGGCUCCAGCCGCUCCUUUAGGUCCUCUUUGUGCCACAGGUGUGACCAUCUUGUGCCCCAGAGCUCUUUGGCUUCGGUGAAAUGUCGACAAUCCUGAAAUGGUUUGGACGGGAAGAUAAGGAGAGAGAGGAGAAGGAAAAGG